rnacentral:rRNA from 1 species
UACGUAGGGGACGAGCGUUGUCCGGAAUUACUGGGCGUAAAGGGCGCGCAGGCUGUGCUGCAAGUCAGCUGUUAAAGACUGGGGCUUAACCCUGGUAUGCGGUUGAGACUGCAGUACUGGAGUGCUGUAGAGGCAAGUGGAAUUCCCAGUGUAGCGGUGAAAUGCGUAGAUAUUGGGAAGAACACCGGUGGCGAAGGCGACUUGCUGGGCAGCAACUGACGCUGAGGCGCGAAAGCCAGGGGAGCAAACGGG